AAAUUCCAAUUAUAAAGAUAUUAUUUAUAUUCAUUAAAAUGUUUUCUAUAUAAAAUAAACUUUGUAUGCUUAGUCACUCAGUUGUGUCUGACUCUGCAACCUCAUGCACUGUAGCCCGCCAGGCUCCUCUGUCCAUGGGAUUUUCCAGGCAAGAGUACUGGAGUGUGUUUCCAUUUCCUACUCCAGGGUAUCUUACUGACCUAGGGAUCGAACGUCCAUCUCCUACAUUGGCAGGCGGAUUCUUUACCACUGUGCCACCUGGGAAGCCCAACCUUUAUGCAUAACAAACAGAAAUAUUGCAUUUUUCAAGUCUCAACUGUUUUAAAUGCAAACUAAAAAUGUCAAAUGGCCACCUAAAUGACAGAGAUGAAGAAACUAAAAUUCUGUUUCUUCAUAUGACAGUCACUGGACUAUUGUUUUUUUGAAUCUGCCAUUUCAGUGCAGAAAUAUGUGAUAUGGCAGGGGUUAUUACAUAAACUGUGAAGCCAGACUGAACAAUUCUGAACCACUGCAAAUUAUUCCAAAAAUGAAACUUUGUAGCUGAAUCUGUUUCCUCGGGUAUAUAUAAAUGGGCAUUCGCCUACCAUGGAGAAUAAAUGUUUAAGUUACAAAAUUAGAAAUGUGCUAAUUUGAAGCCUACAGAUGUAUUAUUAAAACUUGACAGUGACUGCAGUAGUAAUUUAGAAUUUAGACUAACAAAGAAUUUUGGCAGAGGACUUCCCUGAUAGUCUAGUGGUGACGAAUCCACCUGCCAAUGCAGGAAAUGCAGGUUCCAUCCCUGGUCUGGGAGGAUCUCAUAUGCUAUGGGACAAGUAAGCCCAUGUGCCACAGCUACUGAGCUCCCUUGCCCUAGAGCCCACGCUCUGCAACAAGAGAAGCCACCACAAGGAGAAGCCCAAGCACCCCAACUAGAGAUUGUGUGUUAUGUUGGAAAAAGGGUGUUUGCUGUGACCAGUGCAUUCUCUUGACAAACCUGUGCUAACCCUAGGCAACCACUAAUCCACCUUCUGUCUCUAUGAUAGAUUUGCCCAUUCUGGACAUUUUACAUAAAUGAGAUCAUGUAAUAUGAGGGCUUUUGUCACUGAGUCCUUUUAGCAUAAUAUUUUCAAAGUUCAUCUGUGUUGUAAUAUGUGUCAAUAAUUCAUUCCUUUUUUAUCCUCAAAUAAU
ensembl:lncRNA